rnacentral:rRNA from 1 species
GAUGAACGCUGGCGGCGUGCCUAACACAUGCAAGUCGAACGGACAGAUAUGGAAACCUAGUGAAAUAUCUGUUAGUGGCGGACGGGUGAGUAACGCGUGGAUAACCUGCCAUAUACAGGGGGAUAACACUUAGAAAUAGGUGCUAAUACCGCAUAAGCGCACAGCUUCGCAUGAAGGAGUGUGAAAAACUAAGGUGGUAUAUGAUGGAUCCGCGUCUGAUUAGCCAGUUGGUGAGGUAACGGCUCACCAAAGCGACGAUCAGUAGCCGGCCUGAGAGGGCGGACGGCCACAUUGGGACUGAGACACGGCCCAG